rnacentral:rRNA from 1 species
GACGAACGCUGGCGGCGUGCUUAACACAUGCAAGUCGAACGCUGAAGCUCAGCUUUUGUUGGGUGGAUGAGUGGCGAACGGGUGAGUAACACGUGAGUAACCUGCCUCCUUCUUUGGGAUAACGCCCGGAAACGGGUGCUAAUACUGGAUAUUCACUGGUCUUCGCAUGGGGGUUGGUGGAAAGGGUUUUUCUGGUGGGGGAUGGGCUCGCGGCCUAUCAGCUUGUUGGUGGGGUGAUGGCCUACCAAGGCUUUGACGGGUAGCCGGCCUGAGAGGGUGACCGGUCACAUUGGGACUGAGAUACGGCCCAGACUCCUACGCGAGGCAGCAGUGGGGAAGAUUGCACAAUGGGCGCAAGCCUGAUGCAGCGACGCCGCGUGAGGGAUGGAGGCCUUCGGGUUGUGAACCUCUUUCGCUAAUGGUCAAGCCGCAACAAUGGUUGUGGUGAGGGUAGUGGGUAAAGAAGCGCCGGCUAACUACGUG